CCACCAAGCUCCUCUUGGGUGACCCCAACCCCUCUGAGAUGCCACCAAGGUCCCCUUUAUUGUCCCCAAGGUCCUCCAAGAUGCCACCAAGGUGCCUUUACUUGUCCCCAAGGUCCUCCAAAAUGCCACCAAGGUCCUCCAAGAUGCCACCAAGGUCCCCUUAGGUGUCCCCAAGCUCCUCCUGGAUGACCCCAAGGUCCUCCAAGAUGCCACCAAGGUCCCUUUAGGUGUCCCCAAGGUCCUCCAAGGUGCCACCAAGGUCCUCCAAGGUGCCACCAAGGUC